CCGGCCUGGGCAACAAGAGCGAAACUCCGUCUCAAAAAAAAAAUUAAAAAAAAAAAAGAUUAAAAUAAGCCUUAUGGUACAUACAUUUUACCAUGAUUUUUUUUAAAGAAAACGAUUUGCUAAUUUUGUCAUGAGCGGUACAAGGUUACAGAUAACCAGGUCCACGUGUGUUUGCGUCUUUCCACAGUGUCACGCUUUUAUUCAUGCUACUUAAAUCACAAAAGCCACAGGCUACGUGGAGUUCCCAAGGAGGCAAUUCUCCUUAGUACUUCCCAUCACUCAGUAGUCAGCUGCGGGCACACAGGCUCCAGCCAGUCCACAAUAAUUAAGUCAAUACUGCAAACCGUACAGAAUAACAUACUUAAUUGAUAUAUAAGUGUUAUGUAGUAAACAUCCCACAACAAACAAAGUAACAUUUAACAUCAAGAGGAAAAAGAGGAGAAAGGGUUAAGGAACCAGUCCAGGGGGAGCAGGAAGACCAAAGGAGUCCUGGUCUGGUGGUCUGGUAGUCUCUGGGCCCCGUUAGAUCUUGCAAGGAGGAGUCUUUAAUGUGGCCGAGCUUUUGGGGGUCAAAUGCUGAGUUGUUUUGGUUUGUUUUUUGAGACGGAGUUUCACUCUUGUUGCCCAGGCUGGAGUGCAAUGGCGUGAUCUUGGCUCACCGCAACCUCCGCCUCCCAAGUUCAAGCGAUUCUUCUGCCUCAGCCUCCCAAGUAGCUGGGACUACAGGCACCUGCCACCAUGCCUGGCUAAUUUUUGUAUUUUUAGUAGAGACGGGAUUUCACCAUGUUGGCCAGGCUGGUCUCAAACGCCUGACCUCAUGAUCCGCCUGCCUUGGCCUCCCAAAGUGCUGGGAUUUCAGGCGUGAGCCACUGUGCCCGGCCUAGAAGAAAAUUUUAAAUUGGCUUUUAGGAAGGUUUUUUAGCAGCUAAACUUUGGAUGAGCCUAAGAAGAAAGAGUUCAGGCCUUGGCCAGGUGCAGUGGCUCAACUCUGUAAUCCCAGCACUUUGGGAGGCCGAGGCAGGCGGAUCACCUGAGGUCAGGAGUUCGAGACCAGCCUGGCCAACAUGGUGAAACCCCAUCUCUACUAAAAAUACAAAAAAAAUUAGCCGGGCAUGGUGGCACACACCUGUAAUCGCAGCUACUGGAGAGGCUGAGGCAGAAGAAUCGCUUGAACUGGAGAGGUGGAGGGUGCAGUGAGCCGAGAUCACGCCAUCGCACUCCAGCCUGGGGUACAAGAGCGAGACUUCAUCUCAAAAAAAAAAAAAAGAAAGAAAGAAAAAAGAAAAGAAAAAGUGCCUCUCUGCGGUCCAUUUCACUUGUAAGAACAAAACUGACAAAAAAUAUUUAUUACUCUGAGUAGUUCUGAAAAUGACCCAUGGUUUCACUUUCUGACAACAUCAUUCCACUUCCUCUUUCCCAAGAAACUGAUGAGAAUGAAAUUUCCUUGACCUUGAAACCCAAGCAAUAGUUUUUUUUGGAAGCUACACUACAUGGCCAAUUUAUUCUUUCCAGUGUUAUCAAAGUAAAUGUACGUAGUGCAAAAAUCAAGUAAUGCAGAGUUUAUAACGAAAAGCAACAGCCCCUGUCUUCCCGCCUCGACCUUCCACGCAGUCACAAUCCAGAUACAACAGCUUUGAAUGCGCAGGUCGUGGUAUUUAUUUCUAUCGCUCUAAAGAGUAUUGUUUCAGGAAAAACUCUGCAAGCGGUGUUUUUCCUCUGUUCUCACACCAGCACAACAAUCACCAACACAGAAAAGGGCUUCUGUGACCAAAUGUGUGAGGGUUUUUCCGCCACACACCAAGCAGUGAACACCAGCUGGGUGUUCUCCAAUUCAAUGCCAGCACUAUAGACCCAGAGAUAGUAUCAGAUCUCACAGCUCAGUUCCCAAGACUGCUGCCCCCAACUCCCCAGACGUCAGUCGCAAGUCCGGGCCUCUGGAACUUGAGAGCAACCAGCUUCAAGUUGGGGUUCUCACAACUCCCUCUUUGAGAUCGGUGUUUUUUUUUUUUUUUCAGAUGGAAUCUCGCUCUUGUUGCCCAGGCUGGAGUGCAAUGGCACAACCUCGGCUCACCGCAACCUCUGACUCCCAGGUUCAAGCAAUUCUCCUGCCUCAGCCUUCCAAGUAGCUGAGAUUACAGGCACACGCCAGCAUACCCAGCUACUUUUUGUAUUUUGUAUUUUUAGUAGAGACGGGGUUUCACCAUGUUAGCCAGG
rnacentral:lncRNA from 1 species